rnacentral:lncRNA from 1 species
AGGAUGCGUGGGGGGAGUGAGCGAGUCGUCUUUGUUUUUUCUUAGCUGCAGUCUAGCCUACGUCAAGGUGCGGAUCAGGGACUCAUUCACUUGUUCGCAAGGAAGAACAGUUGUAGGAUGUUUGCAGUUGUGGUUUUACUAACUCUCUAGCCCCAGCCUUUUUCUUUUCGGGUCGACUAUCUGUUCUGCCUUUCAGAGCGCUAUUUUCAAAACGCUUUUGUAGUGUAGUUUUCAUCACACGGUGUCCAGUGUUUCCAAGUUAGAGAACGUUUCCAGGUAGCCUACAAUUGAUGGAGUUCUAUCAGAUGAUUUUGUGUCCGCAACAAAGAUUUGAAGGAAAUCCAACCGUUAACCUGCUCUCAUUUGGGUAGCCUCCCUGUUGUCAUGAAAACGGCAGAUCUGAGCGCCUGUCAUGGACAGAGGACAAAAAGACAGUAACGAAGAGGGCGCAGCCGGGAAUCCAGGGAAAAACUUUCGAGUGGCCAUUCGCUUAUGCCCCCAGCGACAUUGGGACCCACAAACAGACGAGGCAAGAUGCUCUAUCAAAGUGGUUGAACCGAACAGGAUUGUUGUUGACACUGGCCGGGGUCAUCAGCCCCAUUCUCUACUCUUUGAUGCAGUGUGGAACGAGAGCGCUAACCAGAAGGAUAUUUAUGAAUCGACAGCAAGGGUAGAUAAUCUACGCACCACAUGUUGAAGGGAAUCGUUUUGUGUAGUCAUGCUUGACUUUGGCAGUAACUCACUCACUCACCGAAAGACUUACCGGACUGGAAGUCACUGGAGAAACAAGUAAUUGAAAUGUAGCGCAGGAAAGAUGGGAGUUAGUGAUUUAUGAAGUCGGGAAAGCGCAAUGACUCAGGUCUGAGUCUGACGGGUCUAACGUGAAGUUCGUCUCCUCAGCCUCUGGUGGGGUCCCUCGUGCAGGGCUACAACGGCUGUGUCAUCGCGUACGGCUCCCGCU